rnacentral:rRNA from 1 species
UACGAAGGGUGCUAGCGUUGUUCGGAAUCACUGGGCGUAAAGCGCGCGUAGGCGGUUAUUCAAGUCAGGGGUGAAAUCCUGAGGCUCAACCUCAGAAUUGCCUUUGAAACUAAAUAACUGGAGUGUCGGAGGGGAUAGCGGAAUUGCUAAUGUAGCGGUGAAAUGCGUAGAUAUUAGCAGGAACACCGGUGGCGAAGGCGGCUAUCUGGACGACAACUGACGCUGAGGCGCGAAAGCGCGGGGAUCAAACAGG